rnacentral:rRNA from 1 species
GUGAGGAAUAUUGGUCAAUGGGCGAGAGCCUGAACCAGCCAAGUCGCGUGAAGGAAGAAGGAUCUAUGGUUCGUAAACUUCUUUUGCAGGGGAAUAAAGUGCAGGACGUGUCCUGUUUUGUAUGUACCCUGAGAAUAAGGAUCGGCUAACUCCGUGCCAGCAGCCGCGGUAAUACGGAGGAUCCGAGCGUUAUCCGGAUUUAUUGGGUUUAAAGGGUGCGUAGGUGGAUUGAUAAGUCAGCGGUGAAAGUUUGCAGCUUAACUGUAAAAAUGCCGUUGAAACUGUCGGACUUGAGUGUAAAUGAGGUAGGCGGAAUGCGUGGUGUAGCGGUGAAAUGCAUAGAUAUCACGCAGAACUCCGAUUGCGAAGGCAGCUUACUAAGCUACAACUGACACUGAAGCACGAAAGCGUGGGGAUCAAACAGGAUUAGAUACCCGUGUAGUCCC